CCUACGGGUGGCAGCAGUGAGGAAUAUUGGUCAAUGGACGAGAGUCUGAACCAGCCAAGUAGCGUGAAGGAUGACUGCCCUAUGGGUUGUAAACUUCUUUUAUAUGGGAAUAAAAUGUUCCACGUGUGGGAUUUUGUAUGUACCAUAUGAAUAAGGAUCGGCUAACUCCGUGCCAGCAGCCGCGGUAAUACGGAGGAUCCGAGCGUUAUCCGGAUUUAUUGGGUUUAAGGGGAGCGUAGGUGGAUUGUUAAGUCAGUUGUGAAAGUUCGCGGCUCAACCGUAAAAUUGCAGUUGAAACUGGCAGUCUUGAGUACAGUAGAGGUGGGCGGAAUUCGUGGUGUAGCGGUGAAAUGCUUAGAUAUCACGAAGAACUCCGAUUGCGAAGGCAGUUCACUGGACUGCAACUGACACUGAGGCUCGAAAGUGUGGGUAUCAAACAGGAUUAGAUACCCCAGUAGUC
rnacentral:rRNA from 1 species